rnacentral:lncRNA from 12 species
UCCCCCCCCCCCCCCCCCCCCCCCCCCCCCCCCCCCCCCCCCCCCCCCCCCCCCCCCCGGGAGCAGCAGGUAAGCCCCGCAGGGCUGCUCCGGACGAGGCGGGAUUUUUGGGGAAAGCCCCUCCGGGGGGUGUUCGCUGUGCCCGGAAUCGCAGGGAGGUGGCGGCGCUGCUGGAGCCGCGUCCUGCGGCCGCUGGAUGGCAGCGGAGCUCCGCGGCGCUCCCGGUCUGCGACAUUCCCGUCCCGCGACAUUCCCGUCCCGCGACAUUCCCGUCCUGCGGCAUUCCCGUCCUGCAUUCCCGCUCCGGGUUCUGCCUCCAUCCCUGCUCCAUCCCAUCUCCAUCCCAUCUCCAUCCCCAGCUCCAUCCCAGCUCCAUCCCUGCUCCAUCCCAUCUCCAUCCCAGCUCCAUCCCAGCUCCAUCCCAGCUCCAUCCCAGCUCCAUCCCAGCUCCAUCCCAGCUCCAUCCCAGCUCCAUCCCAGCUCCAUCCCAGCUCCAUCCCAGCUCCAUCCCAGCUCCAUCCCAGCUCCAUCCCAGCUCCAUCCCAGCUCCAUCCCAGCUCCAUCCCAGCUCCAUCCCAGCUCCAUCCCAGCUCCAUCCCAGCUCCAUCCCAGCUCCAUCCCAGCUCCAUCCCAGCUCCAUCCCAGCUCCAUCCCAGCUCCAUCCCAGCUCCAUCCCAGCUCCAUCCCAGCUCCAUCCCAGCUCCAUCCCAGCUCCAUCCCAGCUCCAUCCCAGCUCCAUCCCAGCUCCAUCCCAGCUCCAUCCCAGCUCCAUCCCAGCUCCAUCCCAGCUCCAUCCCAGCUCCAUCCCAGCUCCAUCCCAGCUCCAUCCCAGCUCCAUCCCAGCUCCAUCCCAGCUCCAUCCCAGCUCCAUCCCAGCUCCAUCCCAGCUCCAUCCCAGCUCCAUCCCAGCUCCAUCCCAGCUCCAUCCCAGCUCCAUCCCAGCUCCAUCCCAGCUCCAUCCCAGCUCCAUCCCAGCUCCAUCCCAGCUCCAUCCCAGCUCCAUCCCAGCUCCAUCCCAGCUCCAUCCCAGCUCCAUCCCAGCUCCAUCCCAGCUCCAUCCCAGCUCCAUCCCAGCUCCAUCCCUGCUCCAUCCCAUCUCCAUCCCAGCUCCAUCCCAUCUCCAUCCCAUUUCAUCCCUGCUCCACCCCUGCUCUGGAGUGCUGAGGGAAUGAGGGAUGAUGAGGAGGAGCUCCAUCCCAUUUCAUCCCUGCUCCAUCCCUGCUCUGGAGUGCAGAGGGAAUGAGGGAUGAUGAGGAGGAGGGAGCAGAUCUGAGGUGACAAAUGUGACUUUAACCAAAAACCUUUGGCACUUGGGAAAACCGAAACUUUCUCUGGAAUGCUGCUGGUCCCUGAGUGUGAGCCGGGGCUCUCCAGGCUCCCAAGGAUUUCCCUGCUGCAGUUCCUUGGCUUCCAGGCUUUUCCCUGCUUGGCCUGGCUGCAGAGGGAUUCUCUUCUCCACGAGGAAAGGGCAGGGUCACGUUUGGGAAUGCUCUAAAGGGAUAAAAGGUGUGAGGGAUGGGUCUGGGGUGGAAUUUGGAGAUCUCGAUGAAAUCCUGGAGUCCUGCUGGCCCUUGGGAAUGUGGGACUGGGGAAUGUGGGAUUGGGGAAUGUGGGAUUUGGGGGAUGUGGGAUUUGGGAAAUGUGGGAUUUGGGAAAUGUGGGAUUUGGGAAAUGUGCACAGGGACAGGACACGGGGUGAGGUUUUCCUCGGGAUGUCUCAGCAUUCCCAGAGCUCUGCUCCUCAUGGUUGGCUCCACGUGCUCCCUUCUCCCCAAAAAAACCCGAAAUCCUGGGAAAGCUCCUGCUCUGCCUCUCCCUUUUCUCCCCCAGCCGCCCGGGGAGAAGAGCCGGCUCUGGCCGCUGGCGAUGCUGAAUUCCUGCGGGAUAAUCCCGCGCCUUUGGAGGCUCUUCCCGAGCAAUCCCGGGCUGGCACUGGAAGCUUUCCCCGGCCGGGCUCCUCCGAGGGCGAAUUCCAGCGGCGGUACCAGCCCCCCCCCCCCCCCCCCCCCCCCCCCCCCCCCCCCCCCCCCCCCCCCCCCCCCCCCCCGGGCUGCGUUUCCAUGGCGAGGCCAUUUGGGCUUUGCUCCGAAACGCCGCGUUCGGGGGAGGUUUUUUAGCCGGGAAUGGCGCAGUUCGUCCAUCCCCUGAGGGGGGAAGAGCUGCUGGAGGAUUCAUUCAGGAGCAAAUGUGGCGAGGCACGCACAGAUCUGCAUUAGCAAUAUGACUCCAGGGAUAGCUAAACGAGCGAGAAAGAGUUUUUAGGGGUUGUGUUGGACAGAUAUCUGAUAUUUAAACGUGAUACAUUAACUGAAGUUACUUCAACACUUACUUUAAGUUGGCUAAUUGAUAAAUCUGUACCACCAA